GCAGUAACAUCCUCCUCCUCCUCCUCCUGCUCCUCAUCCGCAGCGGGGGCGCGCCUGGCUGCGGGAUCCCGUUCCCGACUCAAGUACGGGAUGUUUGAUCCGGUGAAUUCAGACCUGGACCGAGCCGGAAUGUGCGCCCUAAACCCGCACGGUCCUCCCUACCUCUACUGGACAAGUUGACGCUAAACCAAAAAGAUGAUGACGACGAUGAUGAAGAUGAUGAAGAUGACUGCGCAUGUGAAAACUGAGCUCAGUCUGUCGCUAACAGGAGAGUCGAGGGCUUCACAGAACACUGCACAAUUUGAACAAGAGAGGUAAAAAGCCAACUGAUGAGCGAACGUGCAAAGUGGUCCCCAAGCACAACUACAUAACUGCCAUCAAGGAUUUCUAGAGAGAAGGUAAUCAAACAGCAUCCUCCCGUCUCUGAUGAAAAAAACAACAACAAAUAAUCAACGAUUGUUAUGUAUUGGGUGUUAUUAUAUAAAAUAAACAGGGUAGUUUGUUAGCCUGACCUCGUGG